rnacentral:rRNA from 1 species
UACGUAGGGUGCGAGCGUUAAUCGGAAUUACUGGGCGUAAAGCGUGCGCAGGCGGUUCGUUAAGUCAGCUGUGAAAGUCCCGGGCUCAACCUGGGAAUUGCGGUUGAAACUGGCGAACUAGAAUCUGGCAGAGGGGGGUGGAAUUCCACGUGUAGCAGUGAAAUGCGUAGAGAUGUGGAGGAACACCGAUGGCGAAGGCAGCCCCCUGGGCUGAGAUUGACGCUCAGGCACGAAAGCGUGGGGAGCAAACAGG